rnacentral:rRNA from 1 species
GGCCUAAAGCAUCCGUAGCCGGUCUUGCAAGUCUUCCGUUAAAUCCAGCUGCUUAACAGAUGGGCUGCGGAGGAUACUACAAGGCUAGGAGGCGGGAGAGGCAAGCGGUACUCGAUGGGUAGGGGUAAAAUCCGUUGAUCCAUUGAAGACCACCAGUGGCGAAGGCGGCUUGCCAGAACGCGCUCGACGGUGAGGGAUGAAAGCUGGGGGAGCAAACCGGAUUAGAUACCCGGGUAGUCCCAGCUGUAAACGAUGCAGACUCGGUGAUGAGUUGGCUUAUUGCUAACUCAGUGCCGCAGGGAAGCCGUUAAGUUUGCCGCCUGGGGAGUACGGUCGCAAGACUGAAACUUAAAGGAAUUGGCGGGGAGCACCACAAGGGGUGAAGCCUGCGGUUCAAUUGGAGUCAACGCCGGAAAUCUUACCGGGGGCGACAGCAGAGUGAAGGUCAAGCUGAAGACUUUACCAGACAAGCUGAGAGGAGGUGCAUGGCCGUCGCCAGCUCGUGCCGUGAGGUGUCCUGUUAAGUCAGGUAACGAGCGAGAUCCCUGCCUCUAGUUGCUACCAUUAUUCUCAGGAGUAGUGGAGCUAAUUAGAGGGACCGCCGUCGCUGAGACGGAGGAAGGUGGGGGCUACGGCAGGUCAGUAUGCCCCGAAACCCUCGGGCCACACGCGGGCUGCAAUGGUAAGGACAAUGAGUUUCGAUUCCGAAAGGAGGAGGCAAUCUCUAAACCUUACCACAGUUAUGAUUGAGGGCUGAAACUCGCCCUCAUGAAUAUGGAAUCCCUAGUAACCGC